UGUCCUCCUAGGAGCUAUGAUUAAAUAAUCCCUCCGAAGUAUAAUGAAUGGGUCAGGCUCGUCAUGCCUGAUGAAACUCCUGCUGCUCUGGCAGGGAUGGGGUUGGCCCCGGACCCAUGCUGCCAUGCCAUCUCCUCGUUUUGUACCUGCAAUCUCAUUUGGCCUCCUCUCCACCCAGCACUAAUUGCAUUUCAGCCGGAUUUUGUAGGGCUGUUUUCUAUUUUGCUAAUUAAAGAGGCAUCUCUGUGGCUCCACAAUGAGGCUUUUGUUCUUCCCGUGCAAAGCAGGGUCUUAAACCAGAAGCAAACUCUUGAGGGUGAUGCAGAAAAGCCCCAGAGCAAACAGAAGAGCCAUUAAAAUAAUGCAAGCAAGAGGUACCCUCAUUUUCAGAGCUACCUGGGCAUGGUGGGGAGAGAGAUUUCCAAAGCACCCUGCUGUGUUUUUAGUUUGUUUGUUUUUGUGGGGUUUUUGUUUAGUUUGGUUUUUGAACUUCAGGUGCUGAAAACCAUCUAUUUGUUAUUCUGUCUUCAAGGACUGCAGUAUCAAGCCACUUAGAAAAGCCUGGAUUUUGCAUGUAAAGGUCUUCAGUGUGAAGAUUUAGGGUCUCGUACAGGAUGGAGGAGCCCAGAGGAGGAAUAACUCGCACCUCCAGGAAGCUUUUAGAGACAUAGGUUGCGGAAAAAGAGCUGCAAAAAAGAAAGCUAUGUCUGCGUGUGUGACUAAGCCUCCAAGGGCAAUGAAGACCACAUCCCACAGC